rnacentral:siRNA from 1 species
UUAGAUCGUCUACUUGUCACAUA